rnacentral:rRNA from 1 species
CGGACGGGUGAGUAAUGCUUGGGAAUCUAGCUUAUGGAGGGGGAUAACUACGGGAAACUGUAGCUAAUACCGCGUAGUAUCGAGAGAUGAAAGUGUGGGACCUUCGGGCCACAUGCCAUAGGAUGAGCCCAAGUGGGAUUAGGUAGUUGGUGAGGUAAAGGCUCACCUAGCCGACGAUCUCUAGCUGGUCUGAGAGGAUGACCAGCCACACUGGGACUGAGACACGGCCCAG